GGGAUUUUGCGCANGGGGGAACCCUGNCGCAGCAACGCCGCGUGGAGGAUGAAGUCCUUCGGGACGUAAACUCCUUUCGAUCGGGACGAUUAUGACGGUACCGGAAGAAGAAGCCCCGGCUAACUUCGUGCCAGCAGCCGCGGUAAUACGAGGGGGGCGAGCGUUGUUCGGAAUUAUUGGGCGUAAAGGGUGCGUAGGCGGUUUGGUAAGUCUUGUGUGAAAUCUCUGGGCUCAACUCAGAGUCUGCACGAGAAACUGCCGGGCUUGAGUGUGGGAGAGGUGAGUGGAAUUUCCGGUGUAGCGGUGAAAUGCGUAGAUAUCGGAAGGAACACCUGUGGCGAAAGCGGCUCACUGGACCAUAACUGACGCUGAUGCACGAAAGCUAGGGGAGCAAACAGGAUUAGAUACCCUGGUAGUCCUAGCCCUAAACGAUGACUGCUUGGUGUGACGGGUACCCAAUCCCCGCCGUGCCGUAGCUAACGCGUUAAGCAGUCCGCCUGGGGAGUACGGUCGCAAGGCUGAAACUCAAAGAAAUUGACGGA
rnacentral:rRNA from 1 species